rnacentral:rRNA from 1 species
UACGUAGGGGCCUAGCGUUGUCCGGAUUUAUUGGGCGUAAAGAGCUCGUAGGCGGUUUGGUGAGUCGGGUGUGAAAUCUCCACGCUCAACGUGGAGGAGCCACCCGAUACUGCCAUGACUAGAGUCCGGUAGGGGAGUGUGGAAUUCCCGGUGUAGCGGUGAAAUGCGCAGAUAUCGGGAGGAACACCAGUGGCGAAGGCGGCGACCUGGACGGACACUGACGCUGAGACACGAAAGCGUGGGGAGCAAACAGG